CUGUAUGGGAAUGCUUG
rnacentral:misc_RNA from 1 species